CAUCCAUGUCUUGUAAUUGGAAUGAGUGGGAUUUAAAUCCCCCUACGAGUAUCAAUUGGAGGGCAAGUCUGGUGCCAGCAGCCGCGGUAAUUCCAGCUCCAAUAGCGUAUAUUAAAGUUGUUGCAGUUAAAAAGCUCGUAGUUGAAUUUCUGGCAAGAGCAACCGGUCCUUCACUUGGUGUUGGUACUUGUGUUGUCUCUGGCCAUCCUUGGGGAGAGCCUGUGUGGCAUUAAGUUGUCGGGCAGGGGAUUCCCAUCGUUUACUGUGAAGAAAUUAGAGUGUUCAAAGCAGGCUUAUGCCGCUGAAUACAUUAGCAUGGAAUAAUAAGAUAGGACUUCGGAACUAUUUUGUUGGUUUGCGUUACGAAGUAAUGAUUAAUAGGGACGGUUGGGGGUAUUCGUAUUUCAUUGUCAGAGGUGAAAUUCUUGGAUUUCUGAAAGACGAACUACUGCGAAAGCAUUUACCAAGGAUGUUUUCAUUAAUCAAGAACGAAAGUUAGGGGAUCGAAGAUGAUUAGAUACCAUCGUAGUCUUAACCAUAAACUAUGCCGACUCGGGAUC
rnacentral:rRNA from 1 species